GAUGAACGCUGGCGGCGUGCCUAAUACAUGCAAGUCGAGCGAACGGACGAGAAGCUUGCUUCUCUGAUGUUAGCGGCGGACGGGUGAGUAACACGUGGAUAACCUACCUAUAAGACUGGGAUAACUUCGGGAAACCGGAGCUAAUACCGGAUAAUAUUUUGAACCGCAUGGUUCAAAAGUAAAAGACGGUCUUGCUGUCACUUAUAGAUGGAUCCGCGCUGCAUUAGCUAGUUGGUAAGGUAACGGCUUACCAAGGCAACGAUGCAUAGCCGACCUGAGAGGGUGAUCGGCCGCACUGGAACUGAGACACGGUCCAGACUCCUACGGGAGGCAGCAGUAGGGAAUCUUCCGCAAUGGGCGAAAGCCUGACGGAGCAACGCCGCGUGAGUGAUGAAGGUCUUCGGAUCGUAAAACUCUGUUAUUAGGGAAGAACAUAUGUGUAAGUAACUGUGCACAUCUUGACGGUACCUAAUCAGAAAGCCACGGCUAACUACGU
rnacentral:rRNA from 1 species